AUCUCGGAAAGUUGAAAUUUGGGGUUACUUCUUUGUGGGGAUGACUGCCCGGGGUGGAGCUGUUCUACCGUAUCUCUGAUAGUUGAUCCGUUACCUUCUUAACUUUUUGGACUUCAUAUGUAUUAGUUAUCCAUCGAGUGGACGAGGGCGGUAUGAGUUCUUCUUACAGGGUCUUUUGGAUUUUCUUAUUGUCUUCUUCGUGAUGCCUGUGAAAGAAAAUGAUGAACAAGAUCGUUUCUCUUAAUUUCAGAGCUGUGCUUUUUUUAAUAUUCUCCUCUUGAUUAAUGUGAAAGCUGGAUCUCUUAGACUUGUUAUAUCCACAGACAUAUAUACGACUAUGUUGAGCUAAAGAAACAUAGAAAUAGUUGUUCUCUAUGAGCAUUUUGACUAAUUAGUGCUAUCAAUAUACAAAUUCGGUUCGCUUGCCUUAGACCAUUGUGUCGAACUUGAAGGUGGACUGUCCAAAUCCCUGAAAGUCUCCGGUAAGAAGCUUCUUGGAUCUUCUAUAGAGAAAUCCUUGUUCGGUUUUGAUGGAUUGGUUCUAAGAAAUCUUAUUUUGAUAAUGCAAAGGACUUGUUGCAGGGAUAACAUCAGUCUCCUCAUAUACUGAUUGCAGAACAUAUUUGAUCAAAUGCACCUUUUAAAGCCUGAUCCAGUACAGGAUCUCCCUCUGGUCCUCGAGCAACUCUGGUAACGAUCCUUACAGAUGCUGAUGAAAUUCUUGAAACAAGCGUUUUGGAAUUCUCUUAAUUGUGAAACCCUAUGAUGUUACUUUAUGGAAAAGACAGAGAAGAACAAGACAAGAAAUGCCAUUUGGUCCAAUACAGAGGCAGUGGGGAGAAAGUCUUGUAGGUUUCAAAGAUGGUGGAUAUUUAGAUCAUUUUCUGCACCAACCUCUCCCCUAACAAGCUCCUUCCAAUUUUCAACAAAACAAAAUGUGUCAACAUCAAGCCUGUCACCAUUAUCAACAGUCUCUAAUGAUAUUAACCUGAAGUCACAGGAUCUCGAUGAGUAUCUUGAAUUAUGUCCGAGAAGAAGGAAAGAAGCACGUGGUGAAUGGACAUUAAAGAGAGAGGGAAGGUCGUUUUGAUAUAAAUAUAGAAAUAAGAAGCAGUUAGUGGUUGCGAAGAAAGGAGACAAGCGACCAAAUCUUUGAAGAAGUAUUAGUAAAGAGAAGGUAAAAAACAAGAAGAGAGACCGUUGUUAGAUACAGAAGUUGAUCAAACAUGGGAAGAUCUCCUAGCUCAGAUGAAACUGGUCUGAAGAAAGGUCCAUGGUUACCUGAAGAAGAUGAUAAACUCAUCAAUUAUAUUCACAAACAUGGCCAUAGCAGCUGGAGUGCCCUUCCCAAGCUC